rnacentral:rRNA from 1 species
UACGAAGGGGGCUAGCGUUGCUCGGAAUUACUGGGCGUAAAGCGCACGUAGGCGGUCUUUUAAGUCGGGGGUGAAAUCCUGGAGCUCAACUCCAGAACUGCCUUCGAUACUGGAAGACUUGAGUCCGGGAGAGGUGAGUGGAACUGCGAGUGUAGAGGUGAAAUUCGUAGAUAUUCGGAAGAACACCAGUGGCGAAGGCGGCCAACUGGUCCGGCACUGACGCUGAGGUGCGAAAGCGUGGGGAGCAAACAGGG